rnacentral:rRNA from 1 species
UACAGGGGGUGCAAACGUUGCUCGGAAUUAUUGGGCGUAAAGAGCUCGUAGGCGGUUCGGUAAGUCAGGUGUGAAAUCUCCACGCUCAACGUGGAGGCGCCACCUGAAACUGCCGUGACUCGAGUCCGGUAGGGGAGUGUGGAAUUCCUGGUGUAGCGGUGAAAUGCGCAGAUAUCAGGAGGAACACCAGUGGCGAAGGCGGCACUCUGGGCCGGUACUGACGCUGAGGAGCGAAAGCGUGGGAGCGAACAGG